UGGGGAAUUUUGGACAAUGGGCGAAAGCCUGAUCCAGCAAUGCCGCGUGUGUGAAGAAGGCCUUCGGGUUGUAAAGCACUUUUGUCCGGAAAGAAAUCCUUGGCUCUAAUACAGUCGGGGGAUGACGGUACCGGAAGAAUAAGCACCGGCUAACUACGUGCCAGCAGCCGCGGUAAUACGUAGGGUGCAAGCGUUAAUCGGAAUUACUGGGCGUAAAGCGUGCGCAGGCGGUUUGCUAAGACCGAUGUGAAAUCCCCGGGCUCAACCUGGGAACUGCAUUGGUGACUGGCAGGCUAGAGUAUGGCAGAGGGGGGUAGAAUUCCACGUGUAGCAGUGAAAUGCGUAGAGAUGUGGAGGAAUACCGAU
rnacentral:rRNA from 1 species